UACGUAGGUGGCAAGCGUUUGUCCGGAUUUACUGGGCGUAAAGAGCGCGCAGGCGGUCGGAUAAGUCGAAUGUGAAAGCCCCUGGCUCAACCAGGGAGGGUCAUUCGAUACUGUUCGACUCGAAGGCAGGAGAGGGAAGUGGAAUUCCGGGUGUAGUGGUGAAAUGCGUAGAUAUCCGGAGGAACACCAGUGGCGAAAGCGACUUCCUGGUCGAAUACUGACGUUCAUGUGCGAAAGCGUGGGGAGCAACAGG
rnacentral:rRNA from 1 species